CUAUACUAUCUCAAUCUCGCGCCUCUAGUGAUGCACCGGACCUUCGAGAAUGCGACGGAACUGCAGAAUGAGAGGGAGAAAAUACAUAAGUACAACAAGCAGUGAUAACGCCAAAUCUAAGGCACAAACUAUCAGACUCAAGUCUGCUACUCCAGUCUAAAAGGAGAUAAGUCAUCUGAACGACGUCGGCAGAAAGUCAAGGCUAUCCAGCCCACACGGGUCAUAAGUCUAAGGCAAUGCUAGCCUAACCUAGACUAAGGACAUCAUGUUUACGGUUAAGGAUGAACAAGGCAUGCAACACAUGGCAUACAAGCAUACAAUAGAAUUUAGCACAUAAGCAUGCAACUCUAAUAAACAGGUUAACAUGAUACUACACCUGAAUAUGGCCAUUCGAUCCUAACAUGAGGUAUCUAAUCAAAGUAAGGUAGGAAACUGGUACCCACCCUUAAUUCACUCUAAUCGACAUGCUUUUACACAAUUAAGCUCAAUUUAACAGAAAGGAAGCCGUAGUGUACCUUAAGGCUGAUCGCGCGCGCUCCAAAUCACUUUACCGGAGCUUUUUCUUCCCGAACGACCCUUGAACGCUAUCACUCUAUCAAAUAUAGGAUCACAAUAUUAAUACUGUCGUUUAGACACCAAAAUCACAACAAAUGGAGACGGGUCAAUUUUGGAGUGACAACAGAAAUCGUGGGACCCGCACCGAACUGUCUGAAAUUGACUUCGUCAAGAGACCCUAAACAGCACCCCAAACUUGUGUUCAGAAAUGGAACACAAUUCAAGGCUCAAAACAUAGCAAAAACCAACAAGCAAGAAAACCACACUUUAAUCAACUUAAAAGAAAACAGCAGCAGUCUAAACUCGGAAUUAACAAAAAUCGAAAAGUUCCCAGCACUCCUUGAACACUCUAAAAGGUAGCCACGAUAAUUCCCAACAUGUUGGACUUCGAAUCACCCAAAACCGAGCUAAAAUGAGUGAGAUAUGACCAAAACAAAAAUGCCAAAAAUAAAGGCUCGAAAAAGGGUACAGCAGUCAGGUUAAUCACAAAAUUACCUCGAACUACGUGCACACGACAACUUCUGAGCACUAUACAACAAAGCCACCAAGAAUACGAAGCUCCCUCACUUCGAAUCACCUAAAUAGGUUGAGAGAUGAGAGAGAGAUGAGGGUUUUAAGUUUGGAAAAGUUGGCUGAUAUAUAUAUCUGCAUUUAUAGCAGAUAUUUCUGCAAAUUUUUUUCCAAAACAUAAAACCUCCGACGGGGUGCUCCGAACUCGUUUGGAACCCCGUGCACGCAAACGAGAUAUGCAACCAUACCAAAUUCGAUAAUCCGGACUCAAUGGCACAGUCGAAAUUUCCAUACGAGGUCAUCUUGAAAAAAAGUGGGUCCCACACCCAAAUGCCAUUUUAAGUCAAAAACCACAAAAGGGUUCGGAAAAAUAUCAAAAACCUCGGGACACAAAAGAAGGGUCAAUCUAGACCAAAAUCGACAUUCCGGAGCUAACCACACUGACGGAAUUCUCGUCCGAGCGCGUUUACUCAGAAUGUUGACUAAAGUCAAACUUAAGCUUAAACUUAAAGUUAAAACGCCUAAUCGCACCGACUCACACUGAAAACCUCAGGAGUCAUGCCGACUAUGCUACUAGCCUAAAAUGACCUUUCUGGAGCUGAUGGAAUUGUCAGAAUUGGAUUCUGAUGUCAUCUUCUUGAACUUUGGAUCGAACAUGAUUGUUCAAGGUUCAUAAGCUCCAAAAACACUAAAACUCGCACAAAAGCCAAAUGAACGACCAGGUGACCGAACUGUUAGUCCCAGCAAGUCAUAAAUGACUUUGGGUCGCUACAGGAAUGCUCUAAAAGACACACAGAAGGCAAAACAUAGAAAUGACCAGAAGGGUCAUUAUAAUAUCCACUACUUAAAAGGACUUUCGACCACAAAGUAAUGGUCAAGAAGUACCUGAAGGCUCAAAUAAGCCGGGAAACUGCUCUCGUAUCUCCUGCUCGGUCUCCCAGGUAGCCUCCUCGACUGGACGAUGCCUCCAAUGGACCUUAACAACAGGAAUGGCUCUCGUGCGCAAUCUCCUCACAUCUAUGGCUAGAAUGGCAACUGGCUCCUCUACAAAUGUCAAACGGUCAUUCAACUAGACUACAUCAUACUGGAGCACAUGGGACUUAUCAGGAACAUACCGCUGCAACAUCGAGACAUGGAAAACCGGGUGGAUGGCUGAAAAUACUGGAGGUAGGGCCAACUCAUAAGCAACCUCCCCAACUGUCCGGAGUAUCUCAAAAGGCCCAAUGUACCUGGGGCUAAGCUUGCCCCGCCUUCUAAACCUCAUCACGCCCUUCAUGGGCGACACACGGAGGAAUACCUGAUCACCAACAGAGAAUCUCAAAGGCCGAUGCCUCCGAUCCGCAUAACUCUGGUGCCUACUCUGAGCCGUCCUUAGUCUAUCCUGAAUCACUCUCACCUGGUCCAAAGCUUCCUGAAUCAAAUCCGUACCCCGCGGCCUAGGCUCUAUAGACACAAACCAACCCACCAGAGAGCGACAAUGCCUACCAUACAAUGCCUCGAACGGGGCCAUCUGAAUGCUAGAAUGGUAAUUGUUGUUAUACGCAAACUCCGCCAAAGGCAAGAACUGGUCCCAAUGACCACCAAACUCCAACACACAAGCCCGCAGCAUGUCCUCAAGGACCUGAAUAGUACGCUCCGACUAACCAUCAGUCUGAUGGUGGAAAGUUGUGCUAAGGUCAACCCGAGUGCCCAACUUAUCCUGAAAGGUCCUCCAAAAGCUAGACCUGAACUGAGAACCUCGAUCUGAUAUAAUAGAAACUGGCACCCCAUGAAGUCGAACCACCUCCCGAAUGUAGAUACGAGCCAACCUCUCGGCGCUAAAUGAAGACUGAAUAGGAAGGAAAUGUGCUGACUUGGUCAAUCGAUCAACAAUGACCCAAAUGCUAUCAACACCUCUAGAAGUCCGCAGUAGGCCAGCCACAAAAUCCAUAGUAAUGCGAUCCCACUUCCACUCCGGAAUGGGUAAUCUCUGAAACUCACCACCAGGCCUCAAAUGCUCGGCCUUUACCUGCUGGCAACACAAGCAACGGGAAAUAAAGUCAGUAAUAUCUCUCUUCAUGCCACUCCACCAGUAAUGCUGCGCAAAUCACGAUACAUCUUCGUUGUGCCCGGAUGGAUAGAGUAUCUAGACUCAUGACCCUCAGAAAGUAUCAACUGUAUCAAAUUCCCAACUCUCGGAACACAGAUGCGACCGGCGAAUCUCAACACUCCAUCAUGAUCUAAGGUAGCCUAACCACCAUCACCCGCUAAUACUCGAUCUCUAAGGGCCACCAAGGCCUCAUCCUCAAACUGACAACCACAGAUCCUAUCAAGCAAAAAAGACUGAACUCCCAUAUAGGCCAAGACGCGUCUAGAAUCUGAGACAUCCAACUGAACCAUGCUAUUAGCUAAGAACUGAAUGUCCAAAGCCAAGGGUCGCUCCUCAACAGAUAAGAAGGCUAGACUACCCAUACUCACCGCCUUCCGGCUCAAGGCGUUCGCUACCACAUUCACCUUGCCUGGAUGAUAGAGAAUAGAUAGGUCGUAGUCCUUCAGCAGCUCAAUCCAGCAAUGCUACCUCGAAUUAAGGUCCCUCUGGCUCAUGAUGUACUGAAGACUCCUAUGAUCGGUAUAGAUCUCACAUCGAACUCCAUACAAGUAGUGCCUCCAAAUCUUAAGCGCGAAAACUACCGCCGCCAACUCCAAGUCAUGAGUGGGGUAGCUGCGCUUAUGGACCUUAAGCUGCCUCAAUGCAUAAGUAAUAAAUCGGCCCUGCUGCAUCAAUACACAAUCCAAACUAACGUCGGAUGCAUCACAAUAAACCGUGAAGCCCUCACCCUCAACUGGAAGAGUCAAUAUAAAAGCGGUAGUCAAUAACUCAUUGAGCCUCAAAAUGCUCGCCUCACACUCCUCUGGCAUGUAGUUAGCAGAGGUCAGUCUGUCUGGCGUUUCCUCGUGUAAAAGACUACUUUUGCAUCGGCUCUCUCUCGUUAGGUAAUUACCGAGGCAAAAGUUGCUCUCUCAGAAGUAAGUUUCCUCACCACCUUAGUGGGACUAGUCUAAAAAACCUUCACUUGAACUGCCAAGACUCGGUUUUUUUGCGGAAAGGCCCUUCUACUUGGACAAAGGUUUUUUCCGGAUAGUAGACCGACCAAUGGGAAUCGAGACAUCACCGUUUGCGGGAGCAGUAGAGAGAUCAAAUAAAGGGAACAUCAACACGAGUCAACCGGGUCAGAGGUGCUGCCAAGGUAGAGAAACCCUCCACAAAUCGUCUGUAGUAGCCUGCUAGUCCGAUGAAGCUCCAAAUCUUAGUAACUGAGGUAGGCCUAGCCCAAUCACGAAUAACCUCAAUCUUAACCGGAUCUACCAUAAUGCCCUCCUUAGAUAGAACGUGCCCUAAGAACGCUACAGAGUCUAACCAAAACUGGCACUUUGAGAACUUGGCAUAAACCAGCUGAUCUCUCAAAGUCUGGAGCACAACUCUCAAAUGCUGCUCAUGAUCACCUCUACUCCGCGAGUAUAUCAAAAUGUCAUCAAUGAAGACUAUGACGAAGGAAUCAAGAUAAGGUCUGAACACGCGCGUCAUCAAGUCCAUAAAGGCAGCAGGGGCAUUAGUCAACCCAAAUGACAUCACCAAGAACUCAUAUUGGCCAUAACGGGUCCUAAAUGUAGUCUUAGGGAUGUCCGCUGCCCUAAUCUUCAACUGGUGGUAACUAGACCUCAAAUCAAUCUUAGAGAACACUGAAGCUCCCUGUAGCUGGUCAAAUAGGUCAUCAAUCUUAGGCAGAGGAUAUCGAUUCUUCACUGUCACCUUAUUCAACUGCCUAUAGUCGAUGCACAUACGCAUCGUACCGUCCUUCUUCUUAACAUAAAGAACAGAGCCCCCCAAGGUGAUACACUAGGUCUGAUAAAUCCCUUACCCAAGAGAUCCUGAAGCUGAACACUGAGCUCUUUGAGCUUUGCAGGAGCCAUCCGAUAUGGCGGAAUAGAAAUAGGCCGAGUACCCGGCUCAAGCUCAAUCGGAAAAUCAAUAUCACGCUCUGGGGGUAGGCCAGGUAGGUUGGUAGGAAACACAUCAAAGAAGUCACGAACAACAGGAACUGAAUCAACCGGAUAGAUCUCCCUACUCACAUCACGCACAUAGGCCAAAUAUGAUAAGCAUCCGCUAGCUACUAGCCUCCUAGCCUGAAUAAAAGAGAUAACCCCAACUGGUGUGCUACCACGAGAUCCCUGCCACACCACUAGAUGAAUACCAGGAAUGGCUAAGGUAACGGGCUUAGAGAAGCAAUCUAAAACAGCGCAAUAAGGGGAUAACCAGUCCAUGCCUAGAAUCACAUCGAAAUCAAUCAUGUCAAGCAAUAUAAGGUCAUCCCGGGUGUCACGCCCCUGGAUAGUAACUAAGCAAGAUCGAAAUACCUGAUCCACUACUAAAGACUCACCCACGGGGGUCGACACAUGCAACGGCGCUACCAGAGGCUCAGACAUCAUACUCAAGCGAGAGGCAUAGUAAACAGAAACAUACGAAAAAGUAGAGCCCGGAUCAAAUAAAGCCAAGGCGGGCUGCUGGCAUAAAAGAAUCGCACCUGUGAUCACAUCGUCUAAUGCCUCAGCCUCCACCCUCGCUGGAGCUGCAUAUAAAUGGCUAUGUCUGCCUCUGCCCUGACCAUCAAACCUACCACCCGACCUGCCUCCUCAGGGACCACCCCGUAUACCCUGAUGACCACCUCUACGAUCCUGACCCUGACCACGACCUCUAGCUGGAUGUGCUGGUAAAGCUAGGGGAGCAGCCUGAGGAGCGUAAGCAAUUUGACUAUGUCGAGGGCAAUCCCUGGCCUAAUGACCCAUCUUACCACACUCAUAGCAACCCUGUCGAGGGUGACUCCCAGAAGAACGACCACUAUUGUCUGAAGAACCCGACUGAAAUACCUCACGGCCGUGACUCGAACUGGCCUCGCUCCGACCACCAUCUGAUGCCUGAAGAGAGGCCUGUGUAGGUUUAAUAGAUUGACCAUGUUGAAACCGUCGCCUUGUCCUGUCAUGAUAAUCCCUAGACCUAGGGCGGGAAUCACUGUAGCUGCCCUCAUACCUAACCAUCUUCUCGCUGCCCCCUUGGGCCUCGCAACGAAGAUGCUCCAUAGUACUGGCAUGGUCAACUACGUCUAAAAAAGAUCAACCCGCAGAAACUAAGGACUACGUCUCAAGCCGAAGCUGCAAUCUCAACUCAUGAACAAAGCACCUAACUCUCUCAUUCUCUGUAGGUAAUAUCAUUUCGACAUGACGGGAGAGCUCGUGGAACCUAGUCUCGUACUCUGCCACCGACAUGGAGCCCUGGUCCAACCUGCAGAACUGAUCCCUGAGGCGGUCUCUGAUGCUACGAGGGAUAAACUUGACCAAGAAGGCCUCAGAAAACUCAUCACAUGAUACCAGUGGAGAUCUAACUGGUCUGGUCUGAAUGAAUGUGCGCCACCACUGCCUAGCUAGGCCAUCUAGCUGGUAAGCAAUGAAGUCGGCCCCUCUAGACUCCACUAGACCCAAAGUGCAAAGCCUCUCACAAAAAGUAGAUAGAAACUCGUCGGCAUCCUCACCCACAUCCCCAGAAAACCUCAGUGGUGUCAACCUGAGAAACACACCAAGCAUAUUUUGGUCCUCGAGUGGCAUAGGUCUAUCCGCUGCCAAGGGCUGUACUCCCUCAGGUGGUACCUGGACCUGAGGUGCCCUCACUAUAGGCUAAUCAUGCAGUACUGGUGCUAGUGUAGCUGGGGCGGGUGGCUGUUGCAUACCCCCAAACACACCCAAGAGUUGAGCAAUAUCGGCCUGGAGGUCUGAGGUCAGAACUGGUCUGAGUGGCAGCUAGGUUGGCCCCGGCUCCACCGGCUGAUCUAGUAUACAAGAUGCCGGAGGGUCUGCUACUGGCUCUGGAUACUCCUCUCUCUUAUGUGCUGGUGUUGCGGCUCUCUCUCAACCUUGGGGUCGGCGUCUACCCCAAGUUGGGGCUCUGUCUGCAGGCCCGGAUGCAUCACCCACGGCUGCGCCACCUCGCGAGCGAGACAUCCUGCGAAAGAGUGAAACAAGUGAGAUUUCAAGGAAUUAAUAAGACACACACUGCACGAAAGUGAAACAAAAAGAGGAAAUCUUCCUAAAGACAUCAUGUAGCCUCUCGAAGAUAAGUGACAGACGUCUUCGCACCGAUCUGUAGAACUCUACGAGAUGUUAGCUCUGUACAAGUGAGACUGAUGAACCUGGGGCUCUGAUACCAACUUGUCACGACCCGAUUUCUCGAAUCAUUAUGGCACCUACUAUACCCUACCAGUAGGUAAGCCAACCCGAAACCCAAAACAUCAAAGAAUGAGUGUAAGGGUAGAAACUAGCGGAAACAAUAAACUAAACAAAGACAACAAGGCAGAGGCAAACCAAAAGAAAUAAAUACAAAAAUCCCUCCCAGAACCUGGAAGUCACUAGAACAGAGCUAUCUAAUAAAGAGUACAAGUCCCAAAAGUGGACCACAACAGAGCCUGUCUCAAAAGCAACAGGACUAGCUAAACAAAAAGAAGGAGUCAGAACAAACCCAAACGGCCAAGUACUCGCCCUCGUCUCUAAGUCACAACUGUAAAACAAGGCUGGAACUACUCACCGCUGAUAACUGGUACUAGGACCUGCAUCACGAAAUAGAUGCAAAGCAUAGCAUGAGUACCAACACAACAGGUACUCAGUAGGCACCAUAGGCCGAUUGAGCAAAAAGGGUAAAAACAAUAUGAAAUGAUGGAAUCUAGACACAGAGAGGUUAAAGCGGAUACGAAAAGAAAGCACACGACCAUACCAGAAAUAAACUAAGUACAACUAAACUAAACCUAACUGGACCCCCAUAAGCCCAGAAGGUACACUCGUGCGCAAGUUCAAAUAAAACUUGAACGGACCCCCAUAAGCUCGACAGGUACACAGAAAACUAAGUCUACUGAGAAAGAAGAAAACUGGGCUCCCAGCCCAAAGUAACUAAGAUAAUCCAUCAGACUCCACCAAGCCAGAAGUGCACUCCCAGCCCAGCUAGAAAGAGUGACCCCAGGGGGACCCAUCCAAACAGUCCACUCCCAGCCCAGGUAGAAAGAGGGACCCGUGAGUGAGGUAGACAUCGCGAAUCGUCCUACCAUGCAGUCAGCUCCCAGACCAGCUAGAAAGAGCGACCCGGGGACACCCAGCCAGCAGCACACUCCCAGCCAAGCUAGAAAGAGAGGCCCGGGGGUGAUCGCCGAUAUCACCGAGUCUACCCAGCCAGCAAUACGCUCCCAGCCCAACUAGAAAGAACGACCCCGGGGGUAAUGGUAUCUCCAAUAGGAUCCAAUCCAACAACAGCCACCGUGGAACACCGUCUAGUCUAAUAAUCACAUAAAAGGCUCCAAGCCUAUACUAUUUCAAUCUCACGGCUCUAGUGAUGCACUGGACCUUCGAGAAUGCGUCGAAACUGCAGAAUGAGAGGGAGAAGAUACAUAAGUACAACAAGCAGCGAUAACGCCUAAUCUAAGGCUCAAACUAUCAGACUCAAGUCUGAUACUCCAGUCUACAAGGAGCUAAGUUAUCCGAACAACGUCGGCAGAAAGUCAAGG
rnacentral:lncRNA from 1 species